AACGAACGCUGGCGGCAGGCCUAACACAUGUAAGUCGAACGCUCCGCAAGGGGCGUGGCGCACGGGUGAGUAACACGUGGGAACAUGCCCUUGGGUACGGAAUAACGGCGGGAAACUGCCGAUAAUACCGUAUGAUGUCUUCGGACCAAAGAUUUAUCGCCCAAGGAUUGGCCCGCGUCUGAUUAGCUAGUUGGUGGGGUAAUGGCCUACCAAGGCUACGAUCAGUAGCUGGUCUGAGAGGACGACCAGCCACACUGGGACUGAGACACGGCCCAGACUCCUACGGGAGGCAGCAGUGGGGAAUAUUGGACAAUGGGGGAAACCCUGAUCCAGCCAUGCCGCGUGAGUGCUAAGGCCUUCGGGUUGUAAAACUCUUUCGCGAGGGAAGAUAAUGACGGUACCUCGAGAAGAAGCUCCGGCUAACUUCGUGCCAGCAGCCGCAGUAA
rnacentral:rRNA from 1 species